UACGGGGGGGGCAAGCGUUGUUCGGAAUUACUGGGCGUAAAGGGUUCGUAGGUGGCCAACUAAGUCAGACGUGAAAUCCCUCAGCUUAACUGGGGAACUGCAUCUGAUACUGGUUGGCUUGAGUGCAGGAGAGGAACGCGGAAUUCCAGGUGUAGCGGUGAAAUGCGUAGAGAUCCGGAAGAACACCGAAGGCGCAGGCAGUGUCCUGGCUGGCUCCUGACGCUCAGGUGCGAAAGCUAGGGGAGCAAACAGG
rnacentral:rRNA from 1 species